CCCCCCUCAAGAUGAGAUUUCCCAAUUAGUAAGACCCCUGGAAGACGACCAGGUUGAUAGGUUCGAGGUGGAAGCGCAGCAAUGUGUGGAGCUGACGAAUACUAAUCGGUCGAGGGCUUAUCCUAAA
rnacentral:rRNA from 1 species